GAACAACCUAAUGUCUUUAUUACAUGACCAGUUAGUUACAGUAACAGAACAACCUAAUGUCUUUAUUACAUGACCAGUUAGUUACAGUAACAGAACAACCUAAUGUCUUUAUUACAUGACCAGUUAGUUACAGUAACAGAACAAGCUCAUGUCAAGGUGCUUGGUUUGGUGUAGAGGUAUUUUGUUUAAUCUGUGUCUGAUAUAUUUCAAUUGAGACUAUAUGACUGUUUACUUUACAAUAUACCAGGUUCCUGGUUCUAUAUAGUGGAAGUCCUGAGUUGAAUGUAUGUUUUAUUUCUACACGUUCUAUUGCAGUGAUAUCUCUGGGAGCUGAAACACAAAGCUAUUCUCCAUUGUUUUUACUCUGAUGUUGUAUCUUAAGUGUUGUGGUGCUGUACUAGAGACUCUAGUGUAAUUCACAUUUAGCAGAACUAUAAAGAGUCAACGCAAUGCUUUCAUUGCAUGGACACUUACACACACACCUUUUGUCGUGUGCCGGCAUAACGGAUACGACGUAGACAAAUUGUUAAACGAGCGUCCUCAUAAGUACAGAAAGUCUAUUGGUCCAUCAUACCAGGCCCUGAGAGACUCCUGUCCGGGGGGUGUACUUGUACAUCAAGCUGCCUCCCGGCUCCUAUGAAGCCUUGGCUCGUGCACGGCUACUUACUUACUAUAGCCACCAUGUCUAAGUAAACACACACACACACACACACCGAAAACACACUAAUCAAAGGGAUAGAACAACUGUGUGCCUGCAUUGAACCUGUGGAACACUGUGCUUAGAAUCCAUCCAUAAUGACUAUUACAGUUUGAGGGUUUUUCAGGCUGGCUUUUUGUUUGUUUAUCUUUUCCCUGCUAAUGAAGGAAAGAGCCAGUCAACCAGAUGCCUGGGGUCGUGUUCACUAGGCACCAAACGGAAGCAAGGGGCAGAAACGGACUAACCUGAACUUGUACAAUAAAAAAAGCUUGUUUUUGUGUCCUGUUGCAAAGUGUUUUUGCACUGUUGUGCUACGGUGUGCACUAAUGAAUAUGACCCUGCUGGAGUUCAACAGUACACAGUGGGCACCACCAGUGUUAUAGUGUACAGGGAAAUAGUCUAUUAAAGCUAAUCACUAAGGCCUUCUCAGAAUAGGUUUCCUGUGCUGUUGUUCUUUGUUUGGGGUCUCGGGAGUGUGUGUGUUUGUGUGAGUGUGAGAGAGAUGGGAGAUAGGAAGGAGAGCAACAGAGAGAAAGAAACAAACAAAUGAAGAGGGAGAUAAACGUGUUGCGAUUUCAGGGAAACUGAAAAACUGUGAUGUCAUCGGAGCCAAAUGAUCAUUG
rnacentral:lncRNA from 1 species